rnacentral:rRNA from 1 species
GACGAACGCUGGCGGCGUGCUUAACACAUGCAAGUCGAACGGAAAGGCCCUGCUUUUGUGGGGUGCUCGAGUGGCGAACGGGUGAGUAACACGUGAGUAACCUGCCCUUGACUUUGGGAUAACUUCAGGAAACUGGGGCUAAUACCGGAUAGGAGCUCCUGCUGCAUGGUGGGGGUUGGAAAGUUUCGGCGGUUGGGGAUGGACUCGCGGCUUAUCAGCUUGUUGGUGGGGUAGUGGCUUACCAAGGCUUUGACGGGUGGCCGGCCUGAGGGGGUGACCGGCCAAAUUGGGACUGAGAUAGGGCCCAGACUCCUACGGGAGGCAGCAGUGGGGAAUAUUGCACAAUGGGCGGAAGCCUGAUGCAGCAACGCCGCGUGCGGGAUGACGGCCUUCGGGUUGUAAACCGCUUUCGCCUGUGACGAAGCGUGAGUGACGGUAAUGGGUAAAGAAGCACCGGCUAACUACGUG